rnacentral:rRNA from 1 species
AUGGAUCCAGCAGAGGUUCUCAAUGUCAGGUUUCACUAUGGAGGGGAGUUCAUUUGUAUUGGGCCAUCUCUUGAUUAUGUUGGUGGAGAUACUGCAUUGUCAGAGAUAGAGAGGGAUAAGUUGUCACUGCUAGAGCUUAGAGAAUUUUUAGGAGACCAUUUGACAGUUAAAGAGAGCAUGAAGCUGUAUUUUCUUAUGCCAGGGAGAGAGUUGGUUAAUGGACUAGUGUUUCUAUACACUGAUGAAGGUUGCCUGCAGAUGUCAGAGUACAUAACAGAUGGAGGGGUUGCUGAUGUUUUUGUGGAGUACAAUGGUGAGCAAGAUGAACCAGAGGGAGAAGAUAGUGGCUCUGAUUUUGAAGAAGAUGAGUUGAAUGACAUGGUAAACAAUUCUAGUGAGGAAGAACCAGAUGUAGUUAUCACUGCAGAAGAAGAAGAUCAUGUUCAGACAAUUGUUCAGCAAGUUAAUGCAGUAGCAGGGGCAGACAUAUUGGAAAAUAUCUUAGUUCCUAAUGAGGGUGGUGUUGUUACUGAAGUGAUACACAGCCAUGUGAAGAACAAUUUCAGAGUUGAUGAUCUGUCCCAAGUUUCUCAAAUAAUCAAUCCCUCUCAGCCAGUUGUUGCUAGCCAAACUAUAGCUCCAAUUGCAGAAGCUGCAGAGCAUGGUUCGGAUUCUGAAGAUUUAGGUGAUCCUGAUUAUGUGGCGCAUACUGAUGACAGUGGAGAGGAAUCUGAGGUAGUAGAGCUGAGAAAACAUGCAAGGAAAUUCAAGAAGAAGAUGAAAGCAUCUGAAAUUUGGUUCUCCAAGGAGUCAACAGGUCCAGUUCCCAAGAGCUAG